GAAGGCAUGCGCGCCCGGUGGCGCGGCUGGGCUUCAAACCCAGUAGGGGGCGUCAGACGUUCCCGGGUAGGUUCGACUCCUGCUGCCUUCC
rnacentral:tRNA from 1 species